rnacentral:misc_RNA from 1 species
UAACCCAGUGCGCUGGCGGGCCCCCUGCUUAAGUGCGGCCGACCGCGAGUGCGAUGGGAUAUGCUUCGUUCGUAAAAUCCCAAAAUCAUCGGGGCUCCGCACGAUGCGGAGGGCAUUUUCGGUGGGUUGUAUCGCAUAGUCGGCACGCGGCAACUUGGUGACCGUACGUUAGUAACGUCAUGUCCUCCUCCUCUCUCCCGCCCGCUCCCCUCGGACGGGCGGGGAGCGAGAAGCGGCCUCUUACGACGUCCCGUGCGUCCUCGGCGGCGCUUGCAGUCGCACGUGUGCGCACGUGCUCGCCUGCUUCGUCUGUCCGUCUGGACCUCGGGACGGUCGAGUGCUUACGGAUGCGGUGAACUGGAUGGGAGUCGGGUUGGCGCACGCUGUUGCCGACCCGACGAAUGGAAGGUGUUUGCGCACGCCGCGAGCGGGCAAACGGAACGAAAUGAACGACCGCCGGCGGGCGGGCGGGCUGCGCCGUCCUGUCCGCGGGCGUCGUUUCGCAAGGAUUCGCUACCUGGU